CAGGGAAACUCUGAGACAGCAGCAUGCUGCCACCAAACCUGUUGAUAGUGUCGAUGGUCGUCUUUCUUGCAACAACUGUUUCUACGGCUCCUGUGGAGGAGAAGGAGCCAGAGGAGGUGGAGGUGGAGGCCAC